AUUGACGCUGGCGGCAGGCCUAACACAUGCAAGUCGAACGAGUGGCGGACGGGUGAGUAAUGUCUGGGAAACUGCCUGAUGGAGGGGGAUAACUACUGGAAACGGUAGCUAAUCCCGCAUCGCAUCGGAUGUUCCCAGAUGGGCUUAGCGAGUUGGUGGGGUAAAGGCCUACCAGGGCGACGAGCCGUAACUGGUCUGAACGGAUGAUCGGUAACACUGGAACUGAGACACGGUCCAGACUCCUACGGUAGGCAGCAGUGGGGAAUAUUGGACAAUGGGCGAAAGCCUGAUCCAGCCAUGCAGCGGGUGUGAAGAAGGUCUUCGGAUGGUAAAGCACUUUAAGUUGGGAGGCGUUACCAACAGAAUAAGCACCGGCUAACUUCGUGCCAGCAGCCGCGGUAAUAC
rnacentral:rRNA from 1 species